rnacentral:rRNA from 1 species
AACGAACGCUGGCGGCGCGUCUUAAGCAUGCAAGUCGAACGGCAAGAGAGGAGCUUGCUUCUCUCCUAGAGUGACGGACUGGUGAGGAACACGUGGGUAAUCUACCCUUAAGAUGGGGAUAGCUGCUAGAAAUAGCAGGUAAUACCGAAUACACUCGGCAUAUCACAAGAGGUGUUGAGGAAAGGAAGCUACGGCUUCGCUUGAGGAUGAGCUUGCGUCCCAUUAGCUAGUUGGUGAGGUAAAGGCCCACCAAGGCGACGAUGGGUAUCCGGCCUGAGAGGGUGAACGGACACAUUGGGACUGAGAUACGGCCCAAACUCCUACGGGAGGCAGCAGCUAAGAAUAUUCCGCAAUGGACGGAAGUCUGACGGAGCGACGCCGCGUGGAUGAAGAAGGCUGAAAAGUUGUAAAAUCCUUUUGUUGAUGAAGAAUAAGGGUGAGAGGGAAUGCUCAUCUGAUGACGGUAAUCGACGAAUAAGCCCCGGCUAAUUACGUG